UAGGCCACCAGAAAUGAGAUGAGACUCCUGA
rnacentral:piRNA from 1 species